UCGAACCCUGAUCCUAACUCAAACCACUACAUCAUACCAGCCUUUUCAUUCAAAGGGUCACCAUAAAUCCAAGUUCACUUGAUGGCAGUUAACAACAAAAGGAUGUUGUUUAGAAGGAUGAUAUUCUUAUGUAUGUUAAUUAUUACCAAGCCAGUUAAAGAGUUGCAAAAAGAUCAAGUGGAUUCCUAGCCGAACAUUCAAACUACAACACCACACUGGCUCUCUGCAACCCUAUUACCAUGAGGAGGGGGAAAAAGAUUGGCAUCCUGUUGGCAAUGGCAUGAAUCAGACUUACACCAUAACAACUUACUCUUCGGCAGAAGUUGGAAUUCUCUACUGACCAUGCAGCAACCAAAAUCCUCUCUCCAGUGGAGCCCCACUGCCAAGUUAACUGAACUGAAACUGUUUUUUUCACUUUGAAUUCAUUUUGCAGCAAUUGAACUCCCAGUGACAAUCUUGGAUGGGCUUGUUUUGCAGGGGGCUGAGUAGCUGCUGUGUGAAACAAGUGACAUGUUCAAGCUCUGGGCCGGAAGUAAGGCAGGUGGUUGGAAGGACGUUGCACUAUAAACAUUGGGACUUUGAUCCCAGAGGUGGAGGAACUGUGUAUUGGAGGGAAAAGACUGCAAGUGCCCAGACUGCUGUUGGGGUUCAAGCAUUGAUGGAUAAUUUCAAGACCGCUGGAAAAUAAGGUAG